rnacentral:rRNA from 1 species
CUAGUACAUGCAAGUCGAACGAGAGCGACCGGUGCUUGCACUGGUCAAUCUAGUGGCGAACGGGUGAGUAACACGUGGGUAGCCUGCCCAUCAGAGGGGGAUAACAUUCGGAAACGGAUGCUAAAACCGCAUAGGUCCUUUAACCGCAUGGUUGAAGGAGGAAAAGAGGCGCAAGCUUCUGCUGAUGGAUGGACCCGCGGUGCAUUAGCUAGUUGGUGAGGUAACGGCUCACCAAGGCCGUGAUGCAUAGCCGACCUGAGAGGGUGAUCGGCCACAUUGGGACUGAGACACGGCCCAAACUCCUACGGGAGGCAGCAGUAGGGAAUCUUCCGCAAUGGACGCAAGUCUGACGGAGCAACGCCGCGUGAGUGAAGAAGGUUUUCGGAUCGUAAAACUCUGUUGUUAGAGAAGAACAAGUGCUAGAGUAACUGUUAGCGCCUUGACGGUAUCUAACCAGAAAGCCACGGCUAACUACGUGCCAGCAGCCGCGGUAAUACGUAGGUGGCAAGCGUUGUCCGGAUUUAUUGGGCGUAAAGCGAGCGCAGGCGGUUCCUUAAGUCUGAUGUGAAAGCCCCCGGCUCAACCGGGGAGGGUCAUUGGAAACUGGGGAACUUGAGUGCAGAAGAGGAGAGUGGAAUUCCAUGUGUAGCGGUGAAAUGCGUAGAUAUAUGGAGGAACACCAGUGGCGAAGGCGACUCUCUGGUCUGUAACUGACGCUGAGGCUCGAAAGCGUGGGUAGCAAACAGGAUUAGAUACCCUGGUAGUCCACGCCGUAAACGAUGAGUGCUAAGUGUUGGAGGGUUUCCGCCCUUCAGUGCUGCAGUUAACGCAUUAAGCAC